UUAGCAUGGAAUAAUAAAAUAGGACGUGUGGUUCUAUUUUGUUGGUUUCUAGGACCGCCGUAAUGAUUAAUAGGGACAGUCGGGGGCAUCAGUAUUCAAUUGUCAGAGGUGAAAUUCUCGGAUUUAUUGAAGACUAACUACUGCGAAAGCAUUUGCCAAGGAUGUUUUCAUUAAUCAGGAACGAAAGUUAGGGGAUCGAAGACGAUCAGAUACCGUCGUAGUCUUAACCAUAAACUAUGCCGACUAGGGAUCGGACGGUGUUAUAUUUUGACCCGUUCGGCACCUUACGAGAAAUCAAAGUGCUUGGGCUCCAGGGGGAGUAUGGUCGCAAGGCUGAAACUUAAAGAAAUUGACGGAAGGGCACCACCAGGGGUGGAGCCUGCGGCUUAAUUUGACUCAACACGGGGAAACUCACCAGGUCCAGACACAAUGAGGAUUGACAGAUUGAGAGCUCUUUCUUGAUUUUGUGGGUGGUGGUGCAUGGCCGUUCUUAGUUGGUGGAGUGAUUUGUCUGCUUAAUUGCGAUAACGAACGAGACCUUAACCUGCUAAAUAGCCCGUAUUGCUUUGGCAGUACGCUGGCUUCUUAGAGGGACUAUCGACUCAAGCCGAUGGAAGUUUGAGGCAAUAACAGGUCUGUGAUGCCCUUAUAUGUUCUGGGCCGCACGCGCGCUACACUGACGGAGCCAGCGAGUACUUCCUUGGCCGAAAGGCCCGGGUAAUCUUGUUAAACUCCGUCGUGCUGGGGAUAGAGCAUUGCAAU
rnacentral:rRNA from 1 species